UGCUUCUGGCUGUGAUACGUGCCAUUCCACGGGUCAGCAGAGUCACCUGGCUGGUGAGGAUGGAUAAGCUCCUGUCCCUUCCCUCUCUCAUCGCUCCAUGUGUAUCCCUCUUGAGGCUGUCUAAUUGGUCAAAGAGGACAUUUCCUUGACAGAGAAGGACCACGCUUCAGUCAGGUGCAUGCAAGGAGCCGCGUACCCCUGCUAGAACCACCAAAGCAGAUCUUAUCACACCGGUUCUCGGAGUCCCCUGGUGGGUUGUGUCUUAUUUCUGCUUUUCUAGACCGUAAUGUAAGCUUCAUGAGGUCCCCGAUCUUGUUCUUA
rfam:Mesocricetus auratus contig212109, whole genome shotgun sequence.